GCUUAGCCGUAAAAUUUGACAGUAAGAUACAACUGCUGUCCGCCAGGGAACUACAAGCGCCAGCUUAAAACCCAAAGGACUUGGCGGUGCCUCAGACCCACCUAGAGGAGCCUGUUCUAGAACCGAUAACCCCCGUUCAACCUCACCUCCCCUUGUCAUUCCCGCCUAUAUACCGCCGUCGUCAGCAUACCCUGUGAAGGGUUUAUAGUAUGCACAAUGGGUAAAACCCAAAACGUCAGGUCGAGGUGUAGCGUAUGUGGAGGGAAGAAAUGGGCUACAUUCUCUAAUAUAGAGUAUUACGGAGGGGGUUUUGAAACCAACCCCUGAAGGUGGAUUUAGCAGUAGACAGAAACAAGAGUGUCCUGUCGAAAUUGGCUCUGAAGCGCGC
rnacentral:rRNA from 1 species